rnacentral:rRNA from 1 species
UACGUAGGGCGCAAGCGUUGUCCGGAAUUAUUGGGCGUAAAGAGCUCGUAGGCGGCUUGUCACGUCGGAUGUGAAAGCCCGAGGCUUAACCUCGGGUCUGCAUUCGAUACGGGCUAGCUAGAGUGUGGUAGGGGAGAUCGGAAUUCCUGGUGUAGCGGUGAAAUGCGUAGAGAUCCGGAGGAAGACCGGUGGCGAAGGCAGGUCUCUGGGCCAUAACUGACGCUGAGAAGCGAAAGCAUGGGGAGCGAACAGG